ACCUGGCUGGCUCAGUCGGAAGAGCAUGUGACUCUCGAUCUCAGGGUCCUGGGUUCGAGCCCCAUGUGGGGUG